AGGAGUACUGGAAAUGAUGGUUACUGUAGUUGAGAUUCACUCUGAAAAGUCACCUCUCAUUCAUGAGAUAAUGUGGUAAAGAUCAAAGUUUCACUGACUAACUCUUUAAAUUUUCUGCAUAAACACCAUGAUGCAUCAGGAUAUGUCUAAAACUAAUUCUUUCUCCCCACAGCAGAUAUGUCCACAAAACCACUCAUGUCUUUCAAACCCAACUACAGUGCUGUGAAACAGUGGUCUUUAAAUAGCAGAAAAGGAGCAUGGAGCUUGGCAGGAUCUAAUUCAGAAUGCAGUGAAGCUGAUGAGAGAGCAUCCGGUGACCCAACCAGGCAUGUCCUCGCCCACAGCAGCAUCUUCUGGUGGCAGCUAUUUGGGAUGAUAUACUCCUUGUAUGAACUGCUGUAGGCUUAUCUCUCAUCUGCUGCUCUCUUGCUUAGAGAAAAGAAGGCUGCUACUAAGCUGGAAGCACAUAUUUGGCUGAGUGCUUCCCUGGUUUUGGACGAAUGCUCCUACUUUUAGCAGCAUGCCUAGACUUGGAGAAGUACGUUAUGAUGAGUGAACAGAAGGAACUUCCAAACUUUAAAUCAUAUCCAAGGAACCUCCAGUAAUAAGGGCUUCAGCUCAUACCCACAAGUGGUCCUGCAGGAAAACUGGUCUUUGGCUUUUAUUUCCUGAAAGGAAGGAUUGUAUGGCAGUGUUGGGGCUUCGGGGUCUGUAUAAU